rnacentral:rRNA from 1 species
UACGUAGGUCCCGAGCGCUGUCCGGAUUCAUUGGGCAUAAAGCGAGCGCAGGUGGUUUAUUAAGUCUGGUGUAAAAGGCAGUGGCUCAACCAUUGUAUGCAUUGGAAACUGGUAGACUUGAGUGCAGGAGAGGAGAGUGGAAUUCCAUGUGUAGCGGUGAAAUGCGUAGAUAUAUGGAGGAACACCGGUGGCGAAAGCGGCUCUCUGGCCUGUAACUGACACUGAGGCUCGAAAGCGUGGGGAGCAAACAGG